AUUGAACGCUGGCGGCAUGCUUUACACAUGCAAGUCGAACGGCAGCGAGAGAGAAGCUUGCUUCUCUUGUCGGCGAGUGGCGAACGGGUGAGUAAUACGUGAGUAACCUGCCCUUGACUCUGGGAUAACUGCGGGAAACUGUAGCUAAUACCGGAUACGACCCUCGGCGGCAUCGCCAGGGGGUGGAAAGAAUUUCGGUCAAGGAUGGACUCGCGGCCUAUCAGCUAGUUGGUGAGGUAACGGCUCACCAAGGCGACGACGGGUAGCCGGCCUGAGAGGGUGACCGGCCACACUGGGACUGAGACACGGCCCAGACUCCUACGGGAGGCAGCAGUGGGGAAUAUUGCACAAUGGGCGCAAGCCUGAUGCAGCAACGCCGCGUGAGGGAUGACGGCCUUCGGGUUGUAAACCUCUUUUAGUAGGGAAGAAGCGAAAGUGACGGUACCUGUAGAAAAAGCACCGGCUAACUACGUGCCAGCAGCCGCAGUAACAC
rnacentral:rRNA from 1 species